rnacentral:rRNA from 1 species
CCUACGGGAGGCUGCAGUGAGGAAUAUUGGUCAAUGGACGAGAGUCUGAACCAGCCAAGUAGCGUGAAGGAUGACUGCCCUAGGGGUUGUAAACUUCUUUUAUAUGGGAAUAAAAUGUUCCACGUGUGGGGUUUUGUAUGUACCAUAUGAAUAAGGAUCGGCUAACUCCGUGCCAGCAGCCGCGGUAAUACGGAGGAUCCGAGCGUUAUCCGGAUUUAUUGGGUUUAAAGGGAGCGUAGGUGGAUUGUUAAGUCAGUUGUGAAGGUUUGCGGCUCAACCGUAAAAUUGCAGUUGAAACUGGCAGUCUUGAGUACAGUAGAGGUGGGCGGAAUUCGUGGUGUAGCGGUGAAAUGCUUAGAUAUCACGAAGAACUCCGAUUGCGAAGGCAGCUCACUGGACUGCAACUGACACUGAGGCUCGAAAGUGUGGGUAUCAAACAGGAUUAGAUACCCCUGUAGUC